rnacentral:rRNA from 1 species
UACGUAGGGUGCUAGCGUUGUUCGGAAUCAUUGGGCGUAAAGCGCGUGUAGGCUGUUAGUUAAGUCGGGUGUGAAAUCCCUGGGCUACAACCGAGGAAGUGCAUUCGAAACUAAUUAGCUAGAAGAUGGAUAGAGGAAGGUGGAAUUCCAAGUGUAGAGGUGAAAUUCGUAGAUAUUUGGAGGAAUACCGGUGGCGAAGGCGGCCUCUGGGCCAUUCUUGACGCUGAGACGCGAAAGCGUGGGUAGCAAACAGG